ACUUAAGCAUAUCAAUAAGCGGAGGAAAAGAAACUAACAAGGAUUCCCCUAGUAACUGCGAGUGAAGCGGGAAAAGCUCAAAUUUAAAAUCUGGUAGCCUUUGGUUGCCCGAGUUGUAAUCUAGAGAAGUGUUAUCCGCGCUGGACCGUGUACAAGUCUCCUGGAAUGGAGCGUCGUAGAGGGUGAGAAUCCCGUCUUUGACACGGACUACCAGGGCUUUGUGAUGCGCUCUCAAAGAGUCGAGUUGUUUGGGAAUGCAGCUCUAAAUGGGUGGUAAAUUCCAUCUAAAGCUAAAUAUUGGCGAGAGACCGAUAGCGAACAAGUACCGUGAGGGAAAGAUGAAAAGAACUUUGGAAAGAGAGUUAAACAGUACGUGAAAUUGUUGAAAGGGAAACGCUUGAAGUCAGUCGCGUUAGCUAGAAAUCAGCCUUGCUUUUGCUUGGUGUACUUUCUGGUUGAUGGGUCAGCAUCAAUUUUGACCGGUGGAAAAAGGUCAGGGGAAUGUGGCAUCUUCGGAUGUGUUAUAGCCUCUGGUUGUAUACAUCGGUUGGGAUUGAGGAACUCAGCACGCCGCAAGGUCGGGUUUUUAACCACGUUCGUGCUUAGGAUGCUGGCAUAAUGGCUUUAAUCGACCCGUCUUGAAACACGGACCAAGGAGUCUAACAUGCCUGCGAGUGUUUGGGUGGAAAACCCGAGCGCGUAAUGAAAGUGAAAGUUGAGAUCCCUGUCGUGGGGAGCAUCGACGCCCGGACCAGACCUUCUGUGACGGCUCCGCGGUAGAGCAUGUAUGUUGGGACCCGAAAGAUGGUGAACUAUGCCUGAAUAGGGUGAAGCCAGAGGAAACUCUGGUGGAGGCUCGUAGCGAUUCUGACGUGCAAAUCGAUCGUCAAAUUUGGGUAUAGGGGCGAAAGACUAAUCGAACCAUCUAGUA
rnacentral:rRNA from 1 species